CAGCCGCCACGGUAAUACGUAGGGUGCAAGCGUUAAUCGGAAUUACUGGGCGUAAAGCGUGCGCAGGCGGUUCUAUAGGACAGAUGUGAAGUCCCCGGGCUCAACCUGGGAACUGCAUUUGUGACUGUAGAGCUGGAGUGCGGCAGAGGGGGAUGGAAUUCCGCGUGUAGCAGUGAAAUGCGUAGAUAUGCGGAGGAACACCGAUGGCGAAGGCAAUCCCCUGGGCCUGCACUGACGCUCAUGCACGAAAGCGUGGGGAGCAAACAGGAUUAGAUACCCGAGUAGUCCCUGUCUCUUAUAC
rnacentral:rRNA from 1 species